rnacentral:lncRNA from 1 species
GGAGGAGUCCCAUUCCGAUUUCGAUAUCAAUCUAUAUAGAACUCAAUCCCUACUCUCCUCUAUGGAUUCAAUUUUUCAUUCUAAUUUCGAUUCCGAUUUCGAUUCCGAUAACGAACCAAACGCUUCGGAGAUUUAGCCAUUCUGAUUCUGAUUCCAAGUUAUUCCCAUUCUCAUUCCCAUUUUGAUUUCAGUUACGAACCAAAUGUCUUCUAAAUGCGUUAUUAAAUACGUAUUGGAAGGCGAUGGCUACGUGCUCCAACAUGAUUGAGCUUCACAUCAUUUUCAUUACACCGCA